UUCAAUCCAAUUUACAGCAGCAGGUUUCUUGUCAGCACAAAAGUUUCCAGAGAUACCAAUUACUUCCAUAUCUGAGAAAUCAUGUUGAAGAAACUCAAGUACAUUCUGAACACCCUUAGACACCAUAUUCAUUCCCAUGGCGUCGCCUGUGCUGCAACAAAAUCUUACAUAAAGAUUCUUCCCAGCAAUAGAGCAUCGGAUACUUUGAAGCCUAGCAAAUCUACUAGACCUGUUGAAAACGACGGCCAAGGUAUCAAAAUUAUUGGGAUCCUCUAAGAAAAACUUCAAUUCAGAUGCCCUUUUGGCGCUCCCAAACCUUACAACCGGCGCUCUGGUCAUCCCAUCUUUCAACAACAUGCUGGUUGCUCCACCAGACGCAUAGAUCGCUUUGCAGCCUCUAUUAGUACUGGCCACCAAGCAACCUUCCGUCGUAGCCAUCGGCACCGUGUACUCGAAUCCAUCCAGCAACAAAGGUCCCGCUAUUCCCACCGGAAUCUGAACAUACCCAACCGGCAUUUCGCAGCACUGCCCUAAAAUAGACUCGUAAUCAAAUCCUUCAAACGGAAGCCCAUGGAUCGACCUUCCAGUCAUCCUCUGCAGUGCCUCACGACGAAUGGAAGCGGCUCUUUUCGGAUCCCCAAGUUUCGAUUCCAACGAGUACGAAGGAACGGAACCAUCCACAACCAUCUUCACAACCUCUUCGUCCUCCUCCGGCAAUGGAGUUGUAUUCAACGGCUCGAGGUCGGCUACUUUGGACGGCAAAGCGACAGCAGACGCGCAACGAGGUGCAGCAUAGCGAUUGUUGUCGAUGAGAAGAGUUCGAUCAAUUUCAUCUUCAAGAUCCCACGCAUCGGGAGAAGGACGCGCUAUGAAAGACUGAACAAAGUCGAUGCCGAAAAAUCCAAGAAGAUAGAUGAAGGAAGCCAUGAGAGAAACAAUGGCGGCGAUUUCGGAGAGCGUAACGACGUGAAGAGGUGUAGAGUUUCGGAUCUUAUCGCGCCAUCGGUGAAGAAGAUAAUAAGCGACGGAGAAGAAAAGGGUGAAGAAGAUUGUGUUGGUGAGGUACAGAGGAAGGGGAAGAGCAUCUGAAGCUUUUGGCGAUGGGCUUUUCGUGUGUUGAUGGUCGGCCGCCGAUGCGUUUUGUUCGUUCCGGUUGAAGGUACAGGUGGCUCCAUCCUGGAGGGCGGUCGGACGCGGCGGUCGGACAGAACGCCGGCGGUCCAUUGGGCAGCUUUUCUCCGGCGAGAACAGAGAGAAAAGAAAAUGGAGGAAUAGAAGAGUCGAGGCCGGUGUUUUGG
rnacentral:misc_RNA from 1 species